rnacentral:rRNA from 2 species
GAUGAACGCCGGCGGUGUGCCUAAUACAUGCAAGUCGAACGCGUUGGCCCAAUUGAUUGAUGGUGCUUGCACCUGAUUGAUUUUGGUCGCCAACGAGUGGCGGACGGGUGAGUAACACGUAGGUAACCUGCCCAGAAGCGGGGGUACAACAUUUGGAAACAUGAUGCUAAUACCGCAUAACAGCGUUGUUCGCAUGACACAACGCUUAAAAGAUGGCUUCUCGCUAUCACUUCUGGAUGGACCUGCGGUGCAUUAGCUUGUUGGUGGGGUAACGGCCUACCAAGGCGAUGAUGCAUAGCCGAGUUGAGAGACUGAUCGGCCACAAUGGGACUGAGACACGGCCCAUACUCCUACGGGAGGCAGCAGUAGGGAAUCUUCCACAAUGGGCGCAAGCCUGAUGGAGCAACACCGCGUGAGUGAAGAAGGGUUUCGGCUCGUAAAGCUCUGUUGUUAAAGAAGAACACGUAUGAGAGUAACUGUUCAUACGUUGACGGUAUUUAACCAGAAAGUCCGGC